GAUGACGGCCUUCGGGUUGUAAACCUCUUUCAGCAGGGAAGAAGCGAGAGUGACGGUACCUGCAGAAGANGCGCCGGCUAACUACGUGCCAGCAGCCGCGGUAAUACGUAGGGCGCAAGCGUUGUCCGGAAUUAUUGGGCGUAAAGAGCUCGUAGGCGGCUUGUCGCGUCGGUUGUGAAAGCCCGGGGCUUAACCCCGGGUCUGCAGUCGAUACGGGCAGGCUAGAGUUCGGUAGGGGAGANCGGAAUUCCUGGUGUAGCGGUGAAAUGCGCAGAAUAUCAGGAGGAACACCGGUGGCGAAANGCGGAUCUCUGGGCCGAUACNUGACGCNUGAAGANCCGAAAAGCGUGGGGAGCGAAACAGGAAUUAGAAUACCCUUGGUAGUUCCNAGGGGCGAAAUUCCAGCACAANNGGCGGCCGU
rnacentral:rRNA from 1 species